UAUCUAAUCAUUUCAAUUUUGAAUACCUACGACAAACAAACACGCGAAGACCCAUAUAAAAAUCGAUCUCAUGGGACAAAAAUUACAGAAGACAGAAGGAUUGCAGAAAUAUCUACGCAAAUCAUCUUGAAAUCCAUUCACCGUUAUCAGAAUCAAGCAUAUAUCUGUGUAAUGCUAAAUGCUAAUUACAAGAAUGAAACUUUACCUGAAAAGAGAGAACCAGGAGAA
rnacentral:misc_RNA from 1 species